AGGAUUAACGCUGGCGGCGUGCCUAACACAUGCAAGUCGAACGAGGUAGCAAUACCUAGUGGCAGACGGGUGAGUAGCGCGUGGUCAACCUACCGUUGAGUGGGGGAUAACUAGCCGAAAGGUUAGCUAAUACCGCAUACGUCUCCGAGGGGCAUCCCUUGGCGAUAAAAAGGAGCAAUCCGCUCGAUGACGGGACCGCGUCCCAUUAGCUAGUUGGUGGGGUAACGCCUACCAAGGCAUCGAUGGGUAGCUGGUUUGAGAGAGCGACCAGCCACACUGGGACUGAGAUACGGCCCAGACUCCUACGGGAGGCAGCAGUGAGGAAUUUUUCCGCAAUGGGCGAAAAGCCUGACGGAGCGACGCCGCGUGUGGGAAGAAGGCCUUCGGGUCGUAAACCACUGUCGAAGGGGAAGAUAAUGACGGUACCCUUGGAGGAAGCCCGGCUAACUACGCGCCAGCAGCCGC
rnacentral:rRNA from 1 species